rnacentral:lncRNA from 1 species
AUCUUGUUGAUUUUGUCAAAGAACCAGCUCCUGGUUUUUUUUUUUUUUACUUCGUUUGUUUCUAGUUGGUUUCUAGAACAGCCAUGAGUUUUUUUUAUUUCCUACCAUCUACUCCUCUUAGGUGUAUUUGCUUCUUUUUGUUCUAGAGCAUUCAGGUAUGCUGUUAAACUGCUAGUGUAUGCUCUCUUCAGUUUCUUUUUGGAGGCACUCAGAGCUCUGAGUUUUCCUCCCAGCACUGCUUUCAUUUGUGUCCAAUAAGUUUGAGUAUGUUGUACCUUAAUUUCCAUUAAAUUCUAAAAGUGUUUAAUUUCUUCCUUGACCAAAUUAUCAUUGAGUGGGGCAUUGUUUGGCUUCCAUGUGUAUGUGGGCUUUCUGUUUUUGUUGUUAUUUAAGACCAGCCUCAGUCCAUGGUGAUCUGAUAGGAUGCAUGGGAUAAUUUCAAUCUUCUUAUCUCUGUUGAAGAUUGUUUGUAAAUGAUUAUAUGGUCAGUUUUAGAGAAGGUUCUGAGAAGAAGGUAUAUUGUAGUGCUUUAGGAUGAAAUGUUCUAUAAAUAUCUGUUAAGUCCAUUUGGCUCAUAACUUCUGUUAGUUCCAGUGUGUCUCUGUUUAGUUUCUGUUUCCAUGAUCUGUCCAUUGAUGAUAGUGGGGUGUUGAAAUCUCCCACUAUUAUUGUGUGGGAUGCAAUGUGUGCUUUGUGCUUUAAUAAAGUUUCUUUUAUGAAUGUGGUUGUCCUUGCAUUUGGAGCAUAGAUGUUCAGAAUUGAGUGUUCAUCUUGGAAGAAUUUUCCUUUGAUGAGCAUGAAAUGUUCUUCCUACUUUUUUUUUUAUAACUUUAGUUGAAAGUUGAAUUUUUUAAAAUAUAUUUGAAUGGCUACUCCAGUUUCUUUCUUGGGACUAUAUGCUUGGAAAUUUGUUUUCCAACCUUUUACUCUGAGGUAGUGUCAGUCUUUGUCACUGAGGUGUGUUUCCUAUAUGCAGCAAAAUUCUGGGUCCUAUUAAAAUAUCCAGUAUGUUAGUCUAUGUCUUUAGGGGAGGAGGGUUGAGUCCACUGAUGUUAAGAGAUAUUAAGGAAAAGUGAUUGUUACUUCCCAUUAUUUUUGUUGUUAGAGGUGGAACUAUGUUUGUGUGGCUUUCUUCUUUUGGGGUUGUUGAAAGAUUACUUUCUUACUUUUUCUAGAGUGUAGUUUCCCUCCUUGUGUUGGUGUUUCCCAUCUCCCAUCCUUUGUAGGAGGUUUUGUCAUGGAAUGUCUUGGUUUCUCCAUCUAUAGUAAUUGAGAGUUUUGCUGGGUAUAGUAGCCUGGGCUCUCAUUUGGUGUUUUAUUAUAUGACAGGAGGAAUUUCUUUUCUGGUCCAGUCUAUUUGUAGUUCUGUAGGCUUCUUGUAUGUUCAUGGGCAUCUCUUUCUUUAGGUUAGGGAAGUUUUCUUCUAUAAUUUUGUUGAAGAUGUUUUCUGGCCCUUUAAGUUGGGAAUCUUCGACCUUUUCUAUACCUGUUAUCCUUCAGUUUUGUCUUCUCAUUAUGUCCUGGAUUUCCCUGAUAUUUGGGGCUAGGAGCUUUUUGCAUUUUGCAUUUUCUUUGACUGUUGUGUCAAUGUUUUCUAUGGUAUCUUCUGCACCUGAGAUUCUCUCUUCUAGCUCUUGUAUUCUGUUGAUGAUGCUUGUAUAUAUGACUCCUGAUGUCUUUCCUAUGUUUUCUAACUCCAGGGUUGUCUCCCUGUGUGAUUUCUUUAUUGUUUCUAUUUCAAUUUUUAGAUCUUAGAUGGUUUUGUUCAAUUCCUUCACUGGUUUGAUUGUGUUUUCCUAUAAUUUUUAAAGGGAUUUUGUAUUUCCUCUUUAAGGGCUUCUAGUUAUUUACCUAUGCUCUCCUAUAUUUCUUUAAGGGAGUUAUUUAUGUCCUUCUUAAAGUCCUCUAUAAUCAUUAUGAGAAGUGAUUUUAGAUUUGAAUCUUACUUUUCCAAUGUGAUGGUGUAUCAGGACUUGUUAUGGUAGGAGAAUUGGGUUUUGAUGAUGGGUUACUACCUUAUUUUCUGUUGCUUGUGUUCUUUCCCUUGCCUCCCGUCAUCUGAUUAUCUCCAGUGCUACCUGCCCUCGAUAUAUCUAACUGGAACAUGUCCUUCCUAUGAUCCUGGUUGUAUCAGAACUUCUCAGAGUUCAGCUGACUCUGUGAUUCUGGGAUCAUGUGAUCCUGAGAUCCUGGGUGUGUCAGAGCUGCUGGGAGUCAAGCUGCCUCUAAGACACUGAGAUCCUGGUUUGACCAAGCUCCUGGGAUCCUAGAAUCUUGGGAUCCUGUGGUACUGGACGUGAUAGAGUGCCUGGGAGUGGAGCUUCUACUGGAUGCUGUGGGACUGGCUGUGGAGUUAGUGCCCAAGGUCUUCUCAGGGUGCCUCUGAUCCUAUUAUCCUGGGCGUGUUAGAGUACCUGGGAGUGGAGCCUCCUCUGGGUGUUUUGGGACUGGCUGUGGAGUUCACUCCCAAAGUCUCCUUAGGGCACUGGCCCAGACUGAAAGGGAUUUCCAGCAUUUUUUCAGAGAUAGUAUUUUGAUUUUGUAAUUGGCAAUGCUAUCUAUGAACAUUAUUUCACAUAAGCAUGCUCUCAAUAUGACAAAAAAUAUGUUUAGCAACCUGUAAGAUUUAUUGAAAAAUCUGCCCUAGUCCUAAACAAAAUUUUAUAUAAUGAUGUUUUAUGGAAGUCAAGUUAACAAUUCAAGCAGCAUAUUUUAAAGCCAAGCACUCUAACAUAAUAAAAGCAUAAUAAUGUGCUACAAUCAUGCUGAAGACAGUAGGAAAAUAUUUCCUUUCUCUAAUUAAACCAUUUUGUUUCUAUAAGAGCAGAAAACACAUGCAUAAUCAAAUCAUUGCAAUUUGUAACAUACAACAGUCUUACAUCUGAGUGGUGAUAUUCAACUGGUGUUGUGUCUUUUAUCAGAAUCUACAGUGCAAAGUGCAGAUUUCAUGUGUCAAGGCUGUAGCAAUGAUGUGCAGAGUGCAAGUGGUGCCAGGCACACCUGGGAUUCGCAUUUACACACUCAGUGCACAUUCAGAAACAUUUUAAUACUCUCCCAUUUCUAGUGGCCCUCACAUUCUAUAAAUCACAGUUUGUGAAGCAGAAAGAAAGUAUAGUUUUGAAUAAGAACCUGGGACCAUAGCCUAGCCAUAUUGACAACCAGAAUAGCCAUCACAAUGUGAUCAGAAGGAAAAUCUUCAAUCUAUGCCACAAAAGGCAAGACAGACAGGAAUGGAAACCAUCACAUUCAUGUGAACAUAUGUCUAUAUGUGAUGAAAAUAUGAUAGAAUUUAGUUAGUUCGAGUACAUAAGUCAGAACAGCUUUCACUAGUUGUCAUCAAUAACUCUAGAAAUUUUAAAGCCUGGAUUCAUGUUAGUUCUGUGUCUUACAUCCAGUGUGCCAGGGUCAGUCUUUGUCUUUGUUACAGCUAACACCACACUUCACAGAAUGAAGAGCUGUCCUGUCAGAGAGGGAGAGUAACAUUCCAGUUCUCACCAUAGGAUGCAUGACCUGAGCACAUGUGGAGUAGAGAAAGCACUGACCAGAAUUGGGUAGCGCUCCAAUCUAGCCAUAAGGAAGCCUGGGAAUAAAGAACGC